rnacentral:lncRNA from 1 species
GGGAAUAGGAUGUGAGAAGGUUCUUGUUAUUUCAUGGAAGAUGAGUUCUUCAUUCUGGUGAACAUAUUUACCAGUCUGUAACUUUGGGGUUUAUAAAAGUGAAUGGUGUUAAGUGUGGAAAAGAUAAAUAAUGACAAUAUGAGCGUGAGGGUUUUUGGCUUCUGUUUUACUCCUUGGGUGGUUGUUACCAAAUAUAACUAUUAGGUAAUUUCUAGCUUGCGAAAGAGAAGCAUGUUCAGAUCGAACAGCCUGAUUCAGGCUUUAUGUAAUUCACUGCACAUCUUCCGGUUAAGUUUGGGGCAUUUUUUGAAUGGUGCUCUUUGGGAACUUGCUCAUGAAUAAUCUGCCAGCAUGACUUGUACCUAGAGUCAACAUGACAACCUAAGAAAAUCCUGCUUGUUUUUUUAAACCCCGGUUCCUCCCUUCUUCCGUCGUCCACUUUAAAUUGUGGCUGAGUUUAAACAUAAAAUACAGCGUGCGUCAUACUGGAAAAUGAGGGUUGAUUUUAUUUUAUUAUUCUAUUAGCAAUAUUACAAAACUCAGCAAAUUGCUCAAAUAGAUUUAGAUUUUCCUUAAAGUUUUUGUAAGUUUGUUUUCCAAGUCCAUAUGUUGCUUUGACAGUCAUUAAAAGACACAAAUAGCAGAUUAAAAUACGUCUUUCCUGUGAUGAACUUGUACGCAGCAAAGGCUAGACUCCAAAGUCUGACUCUUAGCCACAGAAGAAACUUUCAUGUGCCAUGUGGUGGUGCUUGAGGAAUUACAGGAAAAUGGUUCUUUCAGGAAGAAAAAGUCAUUCAAAUUUAAAAAGCCAAAGUGACACUUGCUAGCAAGGAGGAACUCACUUUUCAAGGUUUGGGAUCACUGGUACUGAUUUAUUAACUAACGAUGAAGUUUGUAAUCUGGCGUGAAUUGCCUGAUAGAGCUGAUCUUUUCCAGUGACCCACCUGAUAAUUCAUUUUUGAGCGACAGGCAGCACUGGUACAUCUGGGUGCAGAAUACUCUUUCCGGAAUAGUGUUGAUGCAGUGGAGAUGGUCACUGUCUGCCUAGUUUGAAUUUAAACAAAAACACCCCAACAACCUUUAGUCACAGCUUUAUUUAUUCAGUGGGAGUAGAACCAGUGGAGCUUUCCAAUUUUCCUGAGCCUUGAAGCUUCUACUUGUGUCUGCACUGACUUGUAAAAUCAUGCUGCUCAAAGGGUCUAUGCAAAUGUAUCCCAAUGUUACAGGAGUAGGUGGAAAUGCUUCUUUCUCCCCUUUCUUUUAUUAACCUGCUCAUUUUGCCUUGUUUCAAGGAGUUUGUCUUUUGUCUGACCUCUUCCUGUCUUUUCUGGUGGGCUGAUCAAGCUGAAAUGCAUUUGAUCUUGUUUUGAAUGUUAAAUUCGGAUUUCUGUUCCUUUCCUUGUUCUCUGUAAUCAGCC